rnacentral:misc_RNA from 1 species
AAUUAAGGCAUGUGUGGAUGCAUCCCGGUUUGAUCUGGUUGACUCUCUUUAUGAACAAAUGGCUGAACGUUCCAUAGUUCCUAACACUGUCACCCAAAAUAUAGUCUUGAGUGGUUACGGGAGAGCAGGGAAAUAUGAAGAGAUGGAGAAAGUGCUUUCGGGUAUGCUUGAGAGCACAGACAGCAGACCUGAUAUAUGGACAAUGAACACAAUCCUGAGCUUAUUUGGCAACAAGGGGCAAGUUGAAAUGAUGGAGAGAUGGUAUGAGAAGUUUUGUAGUUUCGGUAUUGAGCCAGAGACACGAACAUUUAAUAUCCUUAUUAGUGCUUAUGGGAAGAAAAGAAUGUACGAUAAGAUGUCAUCGGUGAUGGAGUACAUGCGUAAACUUUCAUUUCCUUGGACAACAUCGACUUACAACAACGUCAUCGAAGCGUUUUCAGAUAUAGGGGAUGCUAAGCAUAUGGAGUACACAUUUGAUCAAAUGCG